GUGAGUAAUGCUUAGGAAUCUGCCUAUUAGUGGGGGACAACAUUCCGAAAGGAAUGCUAAUACCGCAUACGUCCUACGGGAGAGAGCAGGGGACCUUCGGGCCUUGCGCUAAUAGAUGAGCCUAAGUCGGAUUAGCUAGUUGGUGGGGUAAAGGCCUACCAAGGCGACGAUCUGUAGCGGGUCUGAGAGGAUGAUCCGCCACACUGGAACUGAGACACGGUCCAGACUCCUACGGGAGGCAGCAGUGGGGAAUAUUGCACAAUGGGCGCAAGCCUGAUGCAGCCAUGCCGCGUGUGUGAAGAAGGCCUUCGGGUUGUAAAGCACUUUCAGCGAGGAGGAAGGCAGUCGUGUUAAUAGCACGGUUGAUUGACGUUACUCGCAGAAGAAGCACCGGCUAACUCCGUGCCAGCAGCCGCGGUAAUACGGAGGGUGCAAGCGUUAAUCGGAAUUACUGGGCGUAAAGCGUGCGCAGGCUGUUUUGUAAGUCAGAUGUGAAAUCCCUGAGCUCAACUUAGGA
rnacentral:rRNA from 1 species